AGCGAAUAGAUACCCGGGUAGUCCACGCCGUAAACGAUGGAAGCUAGCCGUUGGUAAGCAUGCUUAUCAGUGGCGCAGCUAACGCAUUAAGCUUCCCGCCUGGGGAGUACGGUCGCAAGAUUAAAACUCAAAGGAAUUGACGGGGGCCCGCACAAGCGGUGGAGCAUGUGGUUCAAUUCGACGCAACGCGAAGAACCUUACCAGCCCUUGACAUGUCCAGGACCGGUCGCAGAGACGCGACCUUCUCUUCGGAGCUUGGAACACAGGUGCUGCAUGGCUGUCGUCAGCUCGUGUCGUGAGACGUUGGGUUAAGUCCCGCAACGAGCGCAGCCCUCGUCCUUAGUUGCCAUCAUUUAGUUGGGCACUCUAAGGAGACUGCCGGUGAUAAGCCGCGAGGAAGGUGGGGAUGACGUCAAGUCCUCAUGGCCCUUACGGGCUGGGCUACACACGUGCUACAAUGGCGGUGACAAUGGGCAGCGAACCAGCAAUGGGGGAGCUAAUCUCAAAAACGCCGUCUCAGUUC
rnacentral:rRNA from 1 species